UGUUUUGUUUUGUUAUGGUGGUGUUUGUUGGCUGAUUGAGUUUGGGCAAUGACGUCACUUAACAACCACCACAACAAAACAAAACAA
rnacentral:pre_miRNA from 1 species